AGCCAGACUCCUACGGGAGGCAGCAGUGGGGAAUAUUGCACAAUGGGGGAAACCCUGAUGCAGCGACGCCGCGUGAGCGAUGAAGUAUUUCGGUAUGUAAAGCUCUAUCAGCAGGGAAGAAAAUGACGGUACCUGACUAAGAAGCCCCGGCUAACUACGUGCCAGCAGCCGCGGUAAUACGUAGGGGGCAAGCGUUAUCCGGAUUUACUGGGUGUAAAGGGAGCGUAGACGGCUGUGCAAGCCAGAUGUGAAAGCCCGGGGCUCAACCCCGGGACUGCAUUUGGAACUGUGUGGCUGGAGUGUCGGAGAGGCAGGCGGAAUUCCUAGUGUAGCGGUGAAAUGCGUAGAUAUUAGGAGGAACACCAGUGGCGAAGGCGGCCUGCUGGACGAUGACUGACGUUGAGGCUCGAAAGCGUGGGGAGCAAACAGGAUUAGAUACCCUAGUAG
rnacentral:rRNA from 1 species